CUCCAGAUGUUGCUGAACUACAACUCUCUUGAUCCCUGGUCAUUGGCUGUGUUUGCUAGGCCUGAUGGGAAUUGUAGUUCAGUAACAUCUGGAG